AAAGGAAUUGACGGGGGCCCGCACAAGCAGUGGAGUAUGUGGUUUAAUUCGAAGCAACGCGAAGAACCUUACCAGGGCUUGACAUCCCGGUGACCGCCUUAGAGAUAAGGCUUCUCUUCGGAGCACCGGUGACAGGUGGUGCAUGGUUGUCGUCAGCUCGUGUCGUGAGAUGUUGGGUUAAGUCCCGCAACGAGCGCAACCCCUAUUGUUAGUUGCCAGCGAGUAGAGUCGGGCACUCUAGCGAGACUGCCGGCGAUAAGUCGGAGGAAGGUGGGGACGACGUCAAAUCAUCAUGCCCCUUAUGCCCUGGGCUACACACGUACUACAAUGGCUGAAACAGAGGGAAGCUAAGCCGCGAGGUGGAGCAAAUCCCCAAAUACAGUCCCAGUUCAGAUUGCAGGCUGCAACUCGCCUGCAUGAAGGCGGAAUUGCUAGUAAUCGCGAAUCAGAAUGUCGCGGUGAAUACGUUCCCGGGCCUUGUACACACCGCCCGU
rnacentral:rRNA from 1 species